rnacentral:rRNA from 1 species
CCUACGGGAGGCAGCAGUGGGGAAUAUUGCGCAAUGGGCGAAAGCCUGACGCAGCGACGCCGCGUGAGGGAUGAAGGUCUUCGGAUCGUAAACCUCUGUCAGCAGGGAAGAACGGUCACUGUGCUAAUCAGCAGUGAAUUGACGGUACCUGCAAAGGAAGCACCGGCUAACUCCGUGCCAGCAGCCGCGGUAAUACGGAGGGCGCGAGCGUUAUCCGGAAUUACUGGGCGUAAAGCGCUCGUAGGCGGUAUGUCAAGUCAAGGGUGAAAUCCCCGCGCUCAACGUGGGAACUGCCUUUGAAACUAGCAAACUAGAGUGUGUGAGAGGAUAGUGGAAUUCCAGGUGUAGCAGUGAAAUGCGUAGAUAUCUGGAAGAACAUCAGUGGCGAAGGCAACUAUCUGGCACAAAACUGACGCUGAGGGGCGAAAGCGUGGGUAGCAAACAGGAUUAGAUACCCGAGUAGUC